rnacentral:rRNA from 1 species
UACGAAGGGGGCUAGCGUUGCUCGGAAUGACUGGGCGUAAAGCGUGCGCAGGCGGUCUUUUAAGUCAGAUGUGAAAUCCCCGGGCUUAACCUGGGAACUGCGUUUGAAACUGAAAGGCUAGAGUGUGGCAGAGGGGGGUGGAAUUCCACGUGUAGCAGUGAAAUGCGUAGAGAUGUGGAGGAACACCGAUGGCGAAGGCAGCCCCCUGGGCUAACACUGACGCCUCAUGCACGAAAGCGUGGGGAGCAAACAGG